UGGAAAUGAGGUUGCGAUAUUCUUCACCAUCCAUUUUACUUGGACUGUGUAGGUUUGAAUCGUUUUUUAAGACCGUUUCAAUGGAUGUCACGUCUUUUAAGAUAGUGUUCAAUCUACACUGUCUAAAUAGAAUGGAUGGUGUAGGUGACUGCAACCUUAUUUCUA
rnacentral:pre_miRNA from 1 species